rnacentral:rRNA from 1 species
AUUGAACGCUGGCGGCAGGCCUAACACAUGCAAGUCGAGCGGAGCGGCGGACGGGCGAGUAAUGCCUAGGAAUCUGCCUGGUAGUGGGGGAUAAAUUACGGAUACGGGCGCUAAUAACGCCUACUCUCAGAUGAGUCUAGGUGGGAUUAGCUAGUUGGUGGGGUAAAGGCCUACCAAGGCGACGAUCCGUAACUGGUCUGAGAGGAUGAUCAGUCAAACUGGAACUGAGACACGGCCCAGACUCCUACGGGAGGCAGCAGUGGGGAAUAUUGGACAAUGGGCGAAAGCCUGAUCCAGCCAUGCCGCGUGUAUGAAGAAGGUCUUCGGAUUGUAAAGCACUUUAAGUUGGGAGGCGUUACCGACAGAAUAAGCACCGGCUAACUUCGUGCCAGCAGCCGCGGUAAUUC